CAGAGCAGCCUGCAGCAGCCCCUGAGACAGGCCUCUGGGCAGGCCGUGGUUUAGCCAAGGCGAAGCUGUGUACUGCAAAGUCCUACGGCAAAGCCGUCGUGUCAGGUGUGAUCGGAAACUCGGGUAAUCCUGAAAUCGGUGAUGUGAUUAAAUAUAAAUGUUCAUAAGUGAGAAAUGGGUACGUAUUUGAAAUACUAGUGAAUAGAAAUAUGUUAAAAACGCAUUACACUUGGGUCAUGCGUGAGCCUGCACCCACCUCUGUCGGCAGGCAGCCCGAUUCCAUGUCUAUUGCUGGUGGGGGGCUCCUGCCCGCUGCCUGCUGCCUGCCUCCGGGUUUGCUUCAACUGCCUUGCAACAGGAGAUGGCAGAGUUCCCAACCAGCAGCGUGGCAAGCCUGUGUGGGAAAUAGAUACGCUUCAUAUUCUCUUUACCCUAGUGGUUUCCUUCAGAAGUAUGAAUAUUGCUGCCCCUGUGCUCGUUCCAGCCGAACUGUGUACUUCAAUGUUUAUUUCUUAGUUCCAUAGGCACAUAAAUUCUUGGUGAUUCUGGCAAUUUGUCUCCUUUUCCAGAGUAUGGUUUUCCCGUUGCUGGUAAUUCUUGUUAUGAACUCAUAGCUCUUGUUCAGUAUAAUCCCUGUUCUGUGCGUGGCCAGCUGCAAGUCUCAGCUCCGAGCAGGGCUUUUCAGCAGAUGCGGAAUUGUUCUCUCUUCCGUCAGCCUAGAAGCUCGCUCUAACUACCAAAUUUCUUUUGGCUUUCCAUAGCUAUUAUUAUUUUUUUUUUGUAGUGUUAUAUGGGACACACCCUUUAUCAUUUUCACCCCAGAUUUGUCCUUAUACCUUAAUUGCCAAGUCAUUUCGUUGUCUGUUUUGGUAAAUGUAUCUGUGUGAAGCAAAGGAUGUUAUGACGGUUUCAUGUUAGCAGACUGGUAUCUCCUAGGCUGCUAAGUUUGUCUGGGGAUGAAGACUGCAUUCACGAUAGAAAUACCGGCACUUUCACUCUAUAAUCUUGCCUUAAUUUUCUCUCUCAUCAAGGUGGUAUCAGUAAUUAAUGCCCCCAGAAAAUUCAGCUGUGUUUGUUGGUAUCGUUUCAUCCAAGAUCUCCCAGCUAAUCACAGCGCUAUCAUUGCUGUUAGUCCUCGUUUUCUUUCAAGUCCCCAGCUGUUUGGUGCGCAAUACUCUGUCUUUUCUGCAACUGGCAAGUCAAUAGCAGAGCUAAUCUGUUUUGAUUCAUAUCAUGAGGAUGCCACAGGAGCUGGAACAACUUCAGUUGUGCAGUUGCCGCGCAUUUAUUGCUUUUACUCUGGAGAAGGAAAAUAGCAGAAUGAAGAGGAGAUGAGAGGGAAGCUCUGAGAGAUGAGGAAGGGGCCUGUACAGAGCGAGAAUGAAGUGGAGAUAGCAAGGGGCAGAGCAAGUGGAGCAAGGGGCAGAGAUGUGGGGUAAGGUGGCUAAAGGAGUGUGUGGAAGAGAAGUGACCGGAGCUGUGCAGGCAGGACGGCGUGUCCUGCGUGAGGGCAGCUCCCUGCAUCUUUCCAGGUCAGCUCCUUUGCGUCCUUGCAGCUGGCAGUGAGAGAGUGGAAAGGACACGGAGAAUGACGAGGUGAUAAGCCAUGAGGAAUUGCUGCAGGUGCCAGAGCGCCUUGCUGCAGCUUUUCUGAUAGCUGGUGUUGGGAUUUUGUUCCGUGCUCCCAAGGGUGCCGAGGGAACCGGUUGAUGUCAUUGCAGGGCCGCUUUGGAAGGUCGUGGUGAUCAGGGAGAGGUUUCUGGUGAUUAAAAAAGGGCAAACUUCAUACAUGCAUUCAGGAAAGGUGGGAAGAAGGAUUGGGCAGUUAUAAAACGGGCAAUGUAACCUCGCUCUCUGGAUGGUGAUGGCACGCCUUCUGGAAACUGUCAGCAUGCGGAGGAGAGGGAGGUGAUUGCGGACAGCCAGCGUGGGUUUGACAAGGGCAAACUGUGCCGAUCCGGCCCGAUUGCCAUCUGUGAUGAGACAGGCUCAGCGAACAAGGGGAGAGCCGUGGGUGUUGUUUACCUUGACUUUAGCAAGGCCUUUGACAUCGUCUCCCGUAGUAUCAUCGUAUCAAAUUGGUGAGGUAUGGACUGGGUAAAUGGAGUAUAAAUGGAAUGGAAAAUUGCCUGAAUUGCUGAGCUCCGAUGAUGGAGAUCAGUGGGCUAGCACACAGAGUGUACCUGAAGAGGCUGAGAGAACUGGGUUUGUUAUCACAUAAUAAUUCUGAGAAAAUACUUUGCUCUUUAAGGAAUAUAUUUAUUUUGGUUCAAGGAGGAAACCAUAACCGGUUGGAGAAGGCAAUUUAACUUCCUUGAAUUUCAAUGUUUGUUUUUAUUACCAAUUCUCAGGCCUUACAAAAGCUUUGGAAUUGAAACCACUCUUUUAUUCAUUGGUUUAAACACUCAUUAAUGGCAGUCCCCUAUUAAAGUCCAGGCAAAACCCACUCUUCAUAAUGUCUUUGAGGCACUUGCCGCUGGAACUUUACUUCCUGGGUGCUGGAACUGUUUGCUCCUGUCUCUGCUAAGUUAGGUAUUUAUUUCAUCUGUGUUUUCUUUUUCUGCAUCUUGAGCAAAGUAACUCGGUGGAACGUGUAAGCUUUGAUGCACGGUUUUUCUCCAGCUGGAAAUUUAUGGUUUUAAAAAAAAAUCAUGCGACUUUGACCAAGUAUACUUGAAAUGCUGUAAUUACAGAUGAUCUAGUUUCACAGCUCACAGACAAAGAAAAUGUGUUUGUUUUACUUUAUUAGAUUUCUUAUAAUAUGUUCAUACAAAAACAAAUGUGCAUAUACACACUCCGUCAAUACUGCCAACUGCAAUUUAUUAAGGUUUAUAAAUUUAUUCCACUAGGUCACUUUAUUGUUAAACAGACGUUGAAUGCAGAAUCAAUGCUAAAGAUGGGGAGGCUAAAUUUCAAAGUAAACAAUCUCAUCUUUCUGUUAAUAGGUUUAUAAGAGACAUUUUUGAGGAAAUCAUAAUUAAUCACAGACCUCGAACCUGGACUGUAUUUCUCUUAAUGCAGUUGCAUUUUUCUAAUAUGAAAAUAAGGGAGAGAAAGUGUCUGGGCAUAAGCAGGAGCUUGCACUGCCGCUUCACUCCUCCCUGAGAGCUGCAAAGCCCCUCAGUCAGUCACCGUAAUCCAGAGCUGAAACGGGGGACGCGUUUUGGGGAUAUAUCUCGUUGCUUUGUGAUGAACUCGGAGGCCUGGGGAGAAUCUCUUGGUGUUGACAGCCCCUGACAGUAAAUGUCACAUGAAUUCGGAGGGAGCUCAGAGCCUUCUGGUGACUGCUAUGAGAAGAGACAUCAUGACAGAAAGCCUGAUUGAUGAGCAAUGCCACGAGUAGAGGGAGCGCUGUGUGGUGAUUGCCUAUAAUUGAAUGGUCUGUGGAAGUUAUUUCUGGGUUCCCUUUGAACGGUGACAUGCACUCCAGAAGUGUUUUCACAUGGGAGACCUACAGAUUUUAACCCUUGUACUCAGCAAUUCCCUGUUAACGCUGCAUUAACAGACUUUAAAACUUAAUGGGCUGUUUUCACUUCAGGUCCAACGCUGAGCCAUAUCAUAAUAAUUAAACAAGCGUCGACAACCAGCGAUGGUCAGCCAUGCAAUUAUCUUCAGAAAUGUUUCAUUGUCAGCUUUCGCCUCCUCCUUUCAGCGCUUUCUCCUUGUGGCUCAGCUCUGUGAUCUGACAGCGCGGAGACGUUGAUUAUCAAGGUUCUCCCUGAUUCUGAUGAUGUGCUCCUGUGACACGGACUUGUCGCAGCCGUGUUAAGCACAGCAGUGAUGCUUGUGGCAUUAAACGGGAAUGUGAGACGUUGUAGCCCCCUCACCCAGCAAAGCAUCUGCUCUCGCUGACCAAUUAAAUUGGCUUCUCUCUCAUUAAAACCCUUGUGCAGACUCUGGUAUGUCACAGAUCUUUAAAAUCUCCAUUACGAUUUCCACUUUCUUCUGGGUAUUUUUAGCUUAUACUCGAAGAAAUGAUUAUUGUCUCUUGCACUUAAACAUAUCAAUUUUGGCUCCACAGACAUCUCCUCUGGGCCAUAUUGAAAGACCUGAGCUGACUUGAACUGCUGAAUCCGUAGGGAGGAUUUCAACACAGCUCUAAGUGCUGGGACAUUGGAGCCGUGCAAGAAGGAAGAGGGAGAGAAAUUCAAGCCCUCCCCCCCUUCCCUUUGUGAACCAUUGGAAACUGCUCUCAGAGUGUGGAUUCCAACCAGAUUUGUGUCAUGUCCUCAACCUGGGCGUUCUUGUUGGAUGAAGUUAGAAGCCUCAGUAGCGUUGAGGCAGGUACUCAGCGUGAGGCUGGAAAUGUUCUUGGUGAUGAAGCCGAGACACACGGGAAUUUACUGAGGGCAGGGGUGAAAAGUGAAUCAGUAAGGAUUUUGUAACAGAGAGGCGAGUCAUUUUUUUUAAUAGUGAGGACUUCUGCGUAUUACCUCUAGGUGAGUUCUAUUACAAGGCAGCUGUUAACAUAUUGCUGUGAAUUGGCUCGGAAAAAAAUUAAAAUUGCAAAAGUACACAAAUUUUAAAUAGACAGAAAUAAUCAUGACAAUAAAAAUGGUUGAAAGAACAGAGCUACGGCAACAAGGUAUAAUUCCUUAAAUAAAUGGGUAGCUAGGAAAGGGUGUAGGGAGACAUGCUGCUUGGAGAUCACAGAGGCACCUAGCCUUGACAGUUUCUAUGACUGCAUGAAACUGAGAAACACAGCCAAACCCCCGCUCUCUGCUAGCGUAUUAUACUGCACAGCAAUCAGGUUUAGUAACACAUUGCUGAGAGAGACUCCCACUAUUUAGUAUUCAUUAUAGAUGGCAUUUUUCAGAUUGCAGCGCAGCAGUGUAAACAAGUGGUGCUGGAGGAAGAGUGGAGAACAGCAUUUCUCCAAGUUCUGAUUUAUUUAUUGUUGAUACUCACUGAGCUACACAAACUUGUGGUACCACCAAUUUUGGGAAAGGGUAGUAACUCUCAAACCACCAGCAUUUUCCAACACUGUUGCAGGAGACCAACACUGCAGGAGGCAAAGCACAGUUCCAUGCAUGCGGCUUCCUUGUGAGGCUGAAACAUCUGGUACAUCUUCCUCUGUGAGUUGUCGUGGAGCUGCAGGCCUGCCUGGGUGCUGCCAGCUGCCUGAUCUGUAUUCCCAUUUACACCGUGCUUUGUACCCCUCCUCUACAUGAGGAAGGAGCCUGUCCCUACAGAUGGGGUGCUGCUGUACUGGACACCCACAGCUGCGAGCAGAAAGCUGUCUGGACAGGCUGGUAUCCUGAAGGCGACCAGUAUCCUCAGGAUACUGAGUCUGACCAGCUGCUGACGUGACCAACUCUGGGACAAUGCCAGCUGAUGCCAUAGCAUCCAAAGAGCAAUUCCCCCUGUGGGCUUACCCUGCUUUGCAGAGAGAGGUGCACGGCUGCUCUGCAUCCCAUGGAGGUUUGCCCACUCCUAGCUGUGUUUGCUUGUUUUUGAUUUGUUUGUUUGUUGUCUGACACCAAUUUUUUCCAGGUCAGCUGGACACCAGUCACCCAGGAAGCAGCACAGCUUUGCUGUCAUCCAUAAAUCAUUAAUUCCUGUAGGCCACAAGGGUGCAGUGCUGUGGCAGUCCUCUAUCCUUCCCUCUCCAGCUGGAGGUGUUCUGUUUCCUCCAAAGUGUCUCUGCUUUUCAAACACCUCGGUGGAUGGAUACCUAUCUUUUUUUUUUUUUUUGGCAUUAAUGACAGGUUGUCUUAAGGAGGGAGGGUAUUUGAUUACCUCCACAGCUACUUCACGGUAAUACUUAACUUAAAACUGGGAUCUACUCAAAAGUGUGUGAGCUUCCUAAAAGGAAAUUAAAAGCAGCUGUUAUAAGCAUGCAGAAGAUGAGAAACUAGAUGAAAAUAUUCUAUUUGAAGCUCAGAGCAAUAUAUCACUAAGUGGAAUAGUUCUGCGAGGGACCAAAAAGGCAAUAUUCAAACAGUCAAGUAGAAGAGUAUUCAAAAUCUGGGAGUGCUGAGCAAAUAAAGAAACUAUUAAAAACAAAACAAAACAAAAAAUACCAACAAACACACAAAACACCAGAAGCCACCAAGACAAAACAUAAACUAUCAAGCUAAACCUGAAGGGCAGUCAAGGGAAAACUUCAAAGAAAAACUCAGUAAAGGAAUAAUAAAAACUGCUAGUAAAAAUAUUUUCAAAAUUACCAGAAUCAGGUACUUUUCCAGAGGUUUGUGAUUUACUGUAAGAGAGGAAAAGUACUGAGAAGCAAACCUUUGUUGGUGCGCGCUGUGGUUGAGGUAGGUUACUCCCUUGUGACAGCCAAACUUAUGGGGACAAGUGUAAGGAACUGUCUCAAAUUAAAUGACAUUACAAUGCAUUUUAGGACUAAUUGAUAAGAUGAAGAGUCAGAAAGUGCCAAGACCAUAUGGUAUUCACUCAAGAGCUCUGAAGGAAAACAAAUAUGCAAUUAUGGAGCUACUAUAGUUUGUAACCUGUCACUUAAAUCAGUCUCCCUGCAGGAAGGAUGGAAGAUGGUAAAUGUGACAACAGUCUCUGAGAAGGUCCCCAGGAGUGGAGAACUGCAGACCGUCACAUUGGAGUCUCUACUGAGCAAAUCAGAAGCUCUGGCCUCAAACCGCUCUGGGUAUGUGAUGUGAUAGCCAAGUGUGCAAGGAAGACAGUAGCUGAAGCAAUUGCUGAAGCAUUAGUGACUAUCCUGGAAGUUCUCAGAAGUGCAGAAAGAAGAGGAGGUUACACCUGUUUAGAGCAGUUCUCUUGCAGGCACUUGAAGCCAGCAAACACACGGAUGCCUGUGCACGUUGCGAGAGCUGAGACUUGCCAGUGUUCAGCGAUGUAUUCCGCAGAGGCCUUGUCCAACAACAAGCACCUCUCCUGUCUUCAGGCACGAGUAGGAUUUUACCUGCAAUGCACAGCAGAGGAGCCAACACGUGCUGGCAGACCUCAGAAGCAAUGCAGAUGGAGGACGUAGAAUCACCUGCUACAGAUGACAAGAUGAGAGCAGGGAGAGUACAUGCCUCUUUGACUUGUCUGAGUAGGACUGAACCAGCAGUGCUGUGGCUGAGGGGAGGCAGAGGUCGGCAGCUGAGGGCUGGAGCUGCAGCCACGUCCUCAAAUUGCAGCAGUGGAGUUUGUUGCUGUGGUUGUGCUGGGGCUGCUGAGGGAAGAGCUGGGUUAGCUGAGUGCUGCAGUGCCUCUCAAGCUGGUGAAAGAGCUACAGGGAAGCAGCAGAAGCUCCUGUUGAGGAGCACAGCCCAAAUGAUAGAGGGAGUGAUGGAGGAUGUGGGCACAGAAGGAGACAUCGGAUAAGUGCCCCAAAGUGUUGGCUGACCCUGAGGAGGCUUUAGGGGCCUGGGCACCCCAUUAUUGGUCAGCUGGUCCAUGGAGGACCUGGCAGGGAUCCCUUGCUGCUAGGCAGAUGCCUGGUGAUCCCAGAUGCUUGCCACUAAGAGGAAUUGUUACUUCACCUCUUGUCCACCCCUCCGCCAGCCGCUUGGGGUCACCAUUUUAGACCUGCAGCUGCAAGAACUAAGUGGUCUUGUUUUCCAGAGACCUUGUUUAAAGUAAAGAACUGGAUUUUGCCUUCGUUUACCCCUUGAGCAGCUGCCAUGGGUGGAAGAGGCUGGUGGCUGCCAACUUACUCUCCCCCUUGCUUGGGAGACGCACCACAGGAGAUGCUGAGCAGGAAUCAAGCAUGAUAGCAUCACAAGAGCAAGGUUUUGCUCUUGGAAGUAAAAAAUGGGGCAAGCCACAACUGAGACAGUGUGAAUUCUGGUUUAUUCAAUGCAUGGUUUACUUAAUCCCUGCUAACAGACCACUGGAGCAGGGCUUCACUCCUGAUUACCAGCUUGUUCCACAGUUCCUGCAUCAGGAAAUCUGCACUGUGCUGUGCAGCAGCUCUUGAUUCUUUGCAGUGGUAGGGUGCCAGAAGGGGCAGUUUCUCCUUCGUCACAGAUGCUCCCUUCAGCCCGGCUUGCUCUUUAUUCCAUUUCACAAGGCCUCAGCACGCGUGGCUCUGGCUACAUACAGAGUAGUCCUUAUUCCAGUGUGCUUCAUAAACAUUGCCAUUAAAUGGACAGUAAAAGGCAUUUAUUCACGGGAAGGGCAGCAGGGCACCUGGAAAGACA